CCUCUUUUCUCAAGGAAGAAGAUCUGACGGUACUUGAGGAAUAAGCCACGGCUAAUUCCGUGCCAGCAGCCGCGGUAAUACGGGAGUGGCAAGCGUUAUCCGGAACUAUUGGGCGUAAAGCGUCCGCAGGCGGCCUUGUAAGUCUGUCGUUAAAGCGUGGAGCUUAACUCCAUUUCGGCGAUGGAAACUACAAGGCUUGAGUGUGGUAGGGGCAGACGGAAUUCCCGGUGUAGCGGUGAAAUGCGUAGAUAUCGGGAAGAACACCAGUGGCGAAGGCGCUCUGCUGGGCCAUAACUGACGCUCAUGGACGAAAGCCAGGGAGCGAAAGGGAUUAGAUACCCCUGUAGUCCUGGCCGUAAACGAUGAACACUAGUGUCGGGGAAUCGACCCCCUCGGUGUCGUAGCCAACGCGUUAGUGUUCCGCUGGGAGUACGCACGCAAGUGUGACUCAGAUUGACGGGCGCACAAGCGGUGAGUAUGUGGUUAUUCGAUGC
rnacentral:rRNA from 1 species